rnacentral:tRNA from 1 species
GGGUGCGUAGCUCAGCGGUAGAGCGCCUGCCUUACAAGCAGGAUGUCGGCGGUUCGAAACCGUCCGCGCCCA